AAGCCUUGGCUAACUUCGUGCCAGCAGUCGCGGUAAUACGGGGAAGGCAAGUGUUAUUCGUCGUUAUUGGGCGUAAAGGGUACGUAGAUUGUGUAAAUAACAUUUAAUUAAAGCCAAGAACUGUUCUUCUUGAGAAAUUAUUUGUAAAAUUUAUACUUAUUAAAAGAAAUUAAAGAGUAUUGCAUAGAUUAAUGGUAUUUUUAAAGAAGAAAUGAAAUUCGAUGAUAAUAAAAGGACCACCUGUUGGCGAAAGCAAUUAAUUAGUGUUAUACUAACAUUGAGGUACAAAAGCAUGGGGAGCAAACAGGAUUAGAGACCCUGGUAGUCCAUGCUAUGACCGCUGAAUGUUCAAUAUCGAGUUUUUUUUAAAUUCGGUGUUUUAGCUAACGCGUUAAACAUUCCGCCUGGGGACUACGAUCGCAAGAUUAAAACUCAAAGGAAUUGACGGAGAUUCGCACAAGCGGUGGAACAUGU
rnacentral:rRNA from 1 species